rnacentral:rRNA from 1 species
CCCGCUGAACUUAAGCAUAUCAAUAAGCGGAGGAAAAGAAACUAACAAGGAUUCCCCUAGUAACUGCGAGUGAAGCGGGAAAAGCUCAAAUUUAAAAUCUGGCGGUCUUGCGGCCGUCCGAGUUGUAAUCUGGAGAAGCGUUUAUCCGCGUCGGACCGUGUACAAGUCUUCUGGAAGGGAGCGUCGUAGAGGGUGAGAAUCCCGUCUUUGACACGGACAACCGGUGCUUUUGUGAUGCGCUCUCGAAGAGUCGAGUUGUUUGGGAAUGCAGCUCAAAAUGGGUGGUAAAUUCCAUCUAAAGCUAAAUAUUGGCGAGAGACCGAUAGCGAACAAGUACCGUGAGGGAAAGAUGAAAAGCACUUUGGAAAGAGAGUUAAACAGUACGUGAAAUUGCUGAAAGGGAAACGCUUGAAGUCAGUCGCGUUGGCCAGGACUCAGCCUCGCUCUUGCGUGGUGUACUUUCUGGUUGACGGGUCAGCAUCAAUUUUGACUGCUGGAAAAAGGCUUAGGGAAUGUGGCAGCUUCGGCUGUGUUAUAGCCCUUGGUCACAUACAGCGGUUGGGAUUGAGGAACUCAGCACGCCGCAAGGCCGGGUUUCGACCACGUUCGUGCUUAGGAUGCUGGCAUAAUGGCUUUAAGCGACCCGUCUUGAAACACGG